UUGACCUCAAAUCGGGUGAGACUACCCGCUGAACUUAAGCAUAUCAAUAAGCGGAGGAAAAGAAACUAACAAGGAUUCCCCUAGUAACUGCGAGUGAAGCGGGAAAAGCUCAANUUAAAAUCUGGUGGCUUUGGUCAUCCGAGUUGUAAUUUAGAGAAGCGUCUUCCGCGCUGGAC
rnacentral:rRNA from 1 species